rnacentral:tRNA from 1 species
GCCUAAAUAGCUCAGUUGGUAGAGCACACAGCUCUGGAUGACAACCUGGUCCAAAGGAUUGUGGGUUCAAUUCCCACCUCUGACA